ACCAAUUACAAAACCACUCCAAUUUCCAGUUCCCUCUUCCCUUUUAACACUAAAAUCAUGUCGGACAAGUGCGGAAGCUGCGACUGUGCUGACAAGAGUCAAUGCGUGUAAGUAUUUCUUAUUCCUAAAGGGCCAAUAUUAUAAAUAAGAUAAUGGUGCUGUGUUUUCUUGAAUCAUGUGUUGAAUCACCUCGUUAAAAGUUUAAACUUCUAGCCUGGUGAUAUGGAUUGGAGAACACACAUGCCUUGGGUUCGAAUUUCAACACUAAACCUGGCUGGCACGAGGAGCAUGUUGAAGAAAUGAUUAUGAAUAAAUUUCUCUCCUCUCUAACAGAUUAAACUUUUAGAUGAAGUGAUUCAAUACAUAAUGGAACGCUAGACGCUAAACACCAAGAUCCAUAGUCCUUACCCUUUGUCUUUUUAUCAUUGCAUGCAAAACUAUAUACACACACUACUUGUUUAACCAUGUAUACUGAUCGAAGCAAUACCGGCUAAUUUGCAGGAAGGGUAACACCUUCAGCAUGGACAUUGUGGAGACAGACAAGAGGUACC
rnacentral:lncRNA from 1 species